rnacentral:rRNA from 1 species
UGAGGAAUAUUGGUCAAUGGGCGAGAGCCUGAACCAGCCAAAUCGCGUGAAGGAAGACUGCCUUAUGGGUUGUAAACUUCUUUUAUACAGGAAUAAAAAAGGGGACGUGUCCCUUAUUGCAUGUACUGUAUGAAUAAGCAUCGGCUAACUCCGUGCCAGCAGCCGCGGUAAUACGGAGGAUGCGAGCGUUAUCCGGAUUUAUUGGGUUUAAAGGGUGCGCAGGCGGGCUUUUAAGUCAGCGGUGAAAUCUCGGGGCUUAACUCCGAAACUGCCGUUGAAACUGGGAGUCUUGAGUAUGGAUGAAGUAGGCGGAAUUCGUUGUGUAGCGGUGACAUGCUUAGAUAUAACGAGGAACUCCGAUUGCGUAGGCAGCUUACUAAGCCAUAACUGACGCUCAAGCACGAAAGCGUGGGGAUCAAACAGGAUUAGAUACCCUGGUAGUCCACGCCGUAAACGAUGAUUACUAGUUGUAUGCGAUAUACCGUAUGUGACUAAGCGAAAGCGAUAAGUAAUCCACCUGGGGAGUACGCCGGCAACGGUGAAACUUAAAUGAAUUGACGGGGUCAUAGCUG